CCCAGUAGGACUGCUGGACCAGAGGUCCUAUAACCCAGUAGGACUGCUGGACCAGAGGUCCUAUAACCCAGUAAGAUGCUGGACCAGAGGUCCUAUAACCCAGUAGGACUGCUGGACCAGAGGUCCUAUAACCCAGUAAGAUGCUGGACCAGAGGGUCUAUAACCCAGUAGGACUGCUGGACCAGAGGUCCUAUAACCCAGUAGGACUGCUGGACCAGAGGUCCUACUGGUUCUAUAACCCAGUAAGAUGCUGGACCAGAGGUCCUAUAACCCAGUAGGACUGCUGGACCAGAGGUCCUAUAACCCAGUAAGAUGCUGGACCAGAGGGUCUAUAACCCAGUAGGACUGCUGGACCAGAGGUCCUAUAACCCAGUAGGACUGCUGGACCAGAGGUCCUACUGGUUCUAUAACCCAGUAAGAUGCUGGACCAGAGGUUCUAUAACCCAGUAGGACUGCUGGACCAGAGGGUCUAUAACCCAGUAGGACUGCUGGACCAGAGGUCCUAUAACCCAGUAGGACUGCUAGACCAGAGGUUCUAUAACCCAGUAGGACUGCUGGACCAGAGGUUCUAUAACCCAUUAGGACUGCUGGACCAGAGGUUCUAUAACCCAGUAGGACUGCUGGACCAGAGGUCCUAUAACCCAGUAGGACUGCUGGACCAGAGGUCCUAUAACCCAGUAGGACUGCUGGACCAGAGGUUCUAUAACCCAUUAGGACUGCUGGACCAGAGGUUCUAUAACCCAGUAGGACUGCUGGAUCAGUUCUGCUGCAACAUAGUAUAUGACGAUCACACGAGAGAAAGAUAUGAUUAUAUUGGAUAUAAAAAAGAUUUGAUAAAAAUGUAAUACAUGCACAGCAUGUAUGAUUAAUAAAUAAAAAUUAACACUAAUGGUGUCUAA
ensembl:lncRNA